rnacentral:rRNA from 1 species
AAACCAACAGGGAUUGCCCUAGUAACGGCGAGUGAAGCGGCAACAGCUCAAAUUUGAAAUCUGGCGUCUUCGGCGUCCGAGUUGUAAUUUGCAGAGGGCGCUUUGGCAUUGGCAGCGGUCCAAGUUCCUUGGAACAGGACGUCACAGAGGGUGAGAAUCCCGUACGUGGUCGCUAGCCUUUACCGUGUAAAGCCCCUUCGACGAGUCGAGUUGUUUGGGAAUGCAGCUCUAAAUGGGAGGUAAAUUUCUUCUAAAGCUAAAUACUGGCCAGAGACCGAUAGCGCACAAGUAGAGUGAUCGAAAGAUGAAAAGCACUUUGGAAAGAGAGUUAAAAAGCACGUGAAAUUGUUGAAAGGGAAGCGCUUGCAGCCAGACUUGCCUGUAGUUGCUCAUCUAGGUUUCUACCUAGUGCACUCUUCUAUAGGCAGGCCAGCAUCAGUUUGGGCGGUUGGAUAAAGGUCUCUGUCAUGUACCUCUCUUCGGGGAGAACUUAUAGGGGAGACGACAUGCAACCAGCCUGGACUGAGGUCCGCGCAUCUGCUAGGAUGCUGGCGUAAUGGCUGUAAGCGGC